rnacentral:rRNA from 1 species
GUGCCAGCCGCCGCGGUAAUACGUAGGUCCCGAGCGUUGUCCGGAUUUAUUGGGCGUAAAGCGAGCGCAGGCGGUUAGAUAAGUCUGAAGUUAAAGGCUGUGGCUUAACCAUAGUACGCUUUGGAAACUGUUUAACUUGAGUGCAAGAGGGGAGAGUGGAAUUCCAUGUGUAGCGGUGAAAUGCGUAGAUAUAUGGAGGAACACCGGUGGCGAAAGCGGCUCUCUGGCUUGUAACUGACGCUGAGGCUCGAAAGCGUGGGGAGCAAACAGGAUUAGA